UGGGGAAUAUUGGACAAUGGGGGCAACCCUGAUCCAGCCAUGCCGCGUGAGUGAUGAAGGCCUUCGGGUUGUAAAGCUCUUUUGGCGGGGACGAUGAUGACGGUACCCGCAGAAUAAGCCCCGGCUAACUUCGUGCCAGCAGCCGCGGUAAGACGAAGGGGGCUAGCGUUGUUCGGAAUUACUGGGCGUAAAGCGAGUGUAGGCGGUUGCCGUAGUCAGGUGUGAAAGCCUUGAGCUCGACUCAAGAAAUGCACUUGAUACUGGGUGACUAGAGGACCGGAGAGGAUAGUGGAAUUCCCAGUGUAGUGGUGAAAUACGUAGAGAUUGGGAAGAACACCAGUGGCGAAGGCGGCUAUCUGGACGGUUACUGACGCUAAGACUCGAAAGCGUGGGGAGCAAACAGGAUUAGAUACCCUGGUAGUCCACGCCGUAAACGAUGGGUGCUAGACGUUGGCGAGCUUGCUCGUCAGUGUCGCAGCUAACGCGUUAAGCACCCCGCCUGGGGGAGUACGGCCGCAAGGUUGAAACUUAAAUGAAUUGACGGGGGUCAUAGCUGUUUCCUG
rnacentral:rRNA from 1 species